GUGAAUCAUCGAAUUUUUGAACGCAAAUUGCACUCUCUCGUGAGAGUAUGCCUGCUUGAGGGUCAGCCUAAAAAAAAUCGACAUAGUCGCUGUUUCGCGGUGACAUUCGUCGGAAAUUGGGUCAUCUUACGCCUUUGGGUUUUAAGCGGCUUAAAAUUUUCUUUACGAUUCCACGAACGUUUCUAAGACUUACUUCUUACACGUUCAAGGAAGUAGAUCUU
rnacentral:misc_RNA from 1 species